rnacentral:rRNA from 1 species
UACGUAGGGUGCAGGCGUUAAUCGGAAUUACUGGGCGUAAAGCGUACGUAGGCGGAUUUGUAAGUAGGGGGUGAAAUCCCCAGGCUCAACCUGGGAACUGCCUUCUAGACUGCAAGUCUUGAGAUCAGGAGAGGCGAGUGGAAUUCCGAGUGUAGAGGUGAAAUUCGUAGAUAUUCGGAGGAACACCAGUGGCGAAGGCGACUUACUGGACUGUAACUGACGCUGAGGCAUGAAAGCGUGGGGAGCAAACAGG